CUGUUUUUACGAUUCCAUGAAUAUUUUAUAGUUUGAGUGGCUUUUGGUUUUCUAUUGAAUGAAGUGAAUGGUGUCCUUAUUGUACGCCUCCUUAUGGUUAUAUAACUAAGACAUAUCUUCACAAUUUGGCAUGACUGCAGUACAUGCAGCAACCAAAACAGAGGGUGAGACUCUUGUCAUGGAAGACAAGACAACUUUUGGAGGUGAGACAACUUUUUCUAAGCUUUGUUCAAAUUUACCAGGAUUUUAUUUGGCAUUUUGAUUU
rnacentral:lncRNA from 1 species